UCUUCUUCUUUGGAACUAACUCUCCUGAGCAUUGUUUUUAAAUACAAAUAAAAUCUGGCUUUUAAGAAAAAAAAAAAAAUUUAGCAGCUUAAAACAAUAAACAUUGAUCAUCUCAUGAGAGUUUCUGUGGGUCUCAGGAACAGGGUAGCCGAGUACCACUGGCUCAGGUUCUCUUGUGAGGCUUCAUAGAUGUUGGCCUGCACCAUAGUUAUCCCAAGGCUCAGCUCAGGAAGGAUCUGAUUCCAAGCUUAUUCACACAGCCAUUCACAGGUUGUAGGUCCUUUUUGGUCUUAGAACUUUGCGACAUGGGCCAUUCCAUACACAGCUCACAAAGUAGCAGCUUGCUGCUCUCAGAGAAAUAGUAUCUAAACAGCAUUCAGAUGUGAUCCACAUGGUGUUGAACCCUCUGCUUGAAGAUGAGAAACUGCAGCUGUCUGGAAGGUCCCAGAUCUCAGAGCAAGCACUGGUUCUCCAGCACCUGGAGCUUUUAGCACAGUUGCAAUCUUCCACGGGAAGCUGUCCUGGCUGACUUUCUAAGUCUUGGAGAGUACGUGUUUUUACAUCAAUUGGAGCGUGAGUCUCACUGUUUAUUUUCUAUUUGUUUACUGAUCGGUCUCAUCCUAUACUAAACAACAAACAGUAUAGUUGUUUGAAGGCAGGCUUGCACCCAGCUGUGACCUGAUAUACAGUAGCACUCAAUAAAUACUUCUUGAAUCAUU
rnacentral:lncRNA from 1 species